AUUGAACGCUAGCGGGAUGCCAUACACAUGCAAGUCGAACGGAGUGGCGAACGGGUGAGUAAUGUAUGGGAACGGGCCCAGUAGAGGGGGAGAAAUAAGCGAAAGAGAAGCUAACAACGCAUACUAUUGGAGCGGUGGAUAUAGGAUGAGCUAGUUGGUGGGGUAAAGGCUCACCAAGGGGACGAACCGUAGCUGGUUUGAGAGGACGACCAGCCACACGGGGACUGAGACACGGCCCAGACUCCUACGGGAGGCAGCAGUGGGGAAUUUUGGCCCAUGGGGGAAACCCUGAUCCAGCCAUCCCGCGUGUGCGAUGAAGGCCUUCGGGUUGUAAAGCACUUUUGGCAGGAAAGCGGUACCUGCAGAAUAAGCACCGGCUAACUACGUGCCAGCAGCCGCGGUAAUUC
rnacentral:rRNA from 1 species